rnacentral:rRNA from 1 species
GGAGAAGGCUAUGUUGGCCGGGCGACGGUUGUCCCGGUUUAAGCGUGUAGGUGUGUGUUCCAGGUAAAUCCGGUUCACUUUAACACUGAGGCGUGAUGACGAGGCACUACGGUGCUGAAGCAACAAAUGCCCUGCUUCCAGGAAAAGCCUCUAAGCAUCAGGUAACAUCAAAUCGUACCCCAAACCGACACAGGUGGUCAGGUAGAGAAUACCAAGGCGCUUGAGAGAACUCGGGUGAAGGAACUAGGCAAAAUGGUGCCGUAACUUCGGGAGAAGGCACGCUGACAC